AUGGGCAGUCUUGUUCAGUCUGCUGCCGAUGCGGUUCGCACAGCGGAUUUCGUGCCAGCCCAGACGGUCGCCUCCGCGGUGCUCGCCGUUCUGGCGGUGGCCCUUAGCACGUACGGUCGUCGCUGCCGCCACCCUGCCCUUCGCCUCGUCGUCCGGGGCGCCUCCCUCGCCUUCAUCCCGCUCACCUCCUCCGCCAUCAGCGCCUUGCUGGGCCGGAGGAAUCUGCAGCGAGUCUGCCAAGGAAAUAGCUGCCCGGAGGUCCAGAACAUGUGGACGCUCCUCCUGUGGAGCGUUAUCAUCGUCAUCAUCAAGGGCAACGCCGACACCGCCGCGGCCUCCGCGGUCGCCGCGUCCGCCUCGCCUUCCACCGACGAUGUCGGCGUCGACGGCCAGAGUGUCAAGACCCCGCUGGAUCUCCUGGUCACGUACGCCUGGGUGGCUUCGCUCAUCGCGAUGUGCAUUCCUGAGGCGGAAUGGUUGGGCGUGCCGGGGAAAACGGUCUUCAUCGUGUUCUUUCUGCUCGCUUUUACCAAGGUGGUGCUCAAGCUGGUCGCCUUCUCCAUGGCGAGCGACUCCUACGCCGUCGGCAAGAAUGCGCGGCUUGUCUCCGGCUACAUGGCGCAGCUCGUCGAGGCCGGCGCGGAGGAGGGCCAUGGCCACGUGCCUCCGUACGUGGUUACAGGGGAGAGCAAGGAGCACGUCGAGGAAAAGCCUCAGGGGUACCGCAUCAAGAGCGUCGCCCUCGAAAACAAGCUCGGCGCCCUCGUGACACUCGACCGUGUGUGGCGGUUGUCCGACCACGGCGACGGCCUCCUCGCCAAGCGGCGGGAGUUAAGAGACCUCUGCCUUUAUUUCUCCCUCUUCAAGAGCCUUCGUCGUCGGUUCUCAGGGUACCCCCUGGCCGAGGAAGGCUCCAGCAACGCCCUCGACUUCGUGCUCAGGGGCAUGGACACCGCGGCCGGCGACGGCAAAGGAGGCACCGAUACCGACCGGUUGUUCCGGGUCCUUUUGGACGAGCUCUGGUUUGCAAGUGAUUUCUACUACUCGCCGCUCCCUUUGUGCUCCUUCAGUGGGUGGUGCGCCGUCCUGAACUACCUCUUUCCGUCCUCAUCAUCGCCGGAGCUAUCACCGUGGGAGUGUUUUUUCAUCUCAAAAGGGUGA
rnacentral:rRNA from 1 species